CAGAGGGUGGAGGAUGGGAAGAGGAAGAGGAUCAGGAAAAAUAACUAAUGGGUACCAGGCUUAAUACCUGGGCGAUGAAAUAAUAUGUACAACAAAUCCCCAUAACACAUGUUUACCUAUAUAACAAACCUGCACAUAUACCCCUAAACUUAAAAUAAAAGUUUUUUCGCCGGGCAUGGUGGAUUACACCUGUAAUCCCAGUACUUUGGGAGGCCUAGACAGGUGGAUCACCUGAGGUGGGGGGUUCAAGACCAGCCUGACCAGC
rnacentral:lncRNA from 10 species